rnacentral:rRNA from 1 species
UACGUAGGGGGCAAGCGUUGUCCGGAUUUAUUGGGCGUAAAGAGCGUGUAGGCGGCUAGGUAGGUCCGUUGUGAAAACUCGAGGCUCAACCUCGAGACGUCGAUGGAAACCAUCUAGCUAGAGUCCGGAAGAGGAGAGUGGAAUUCCUGGUGUAGCGGUGAAAUGCGCAGAUAUCAGGAAGAACACCUAUGGCGAAGGCAGCUCUCUGGGACGGUACUGACGCUGAGACGCGAAAGCGUGGGGAGCGAACAGG